UACAGAGGGGGCUAGCGUUGUUCGGAAUUAUUGGGCGUAAAGGGCGCGUAGGCGGCCGGAUAAGUCUGACGUGAAAUCCCUCGGCCUAACCGGGGAACUGCGUUUGAUACUGUCCAGCUCGAGUCCGGGAGAGGGUAGUGGAAUUCCCAGUGUAGCGGUGAAAUGCGUAGAUAUUGGGAGGAACACCGGUGGCGAAGGCGGCUACCUGGACCGGUACUGGCGCUGAGGCGCGAAAGCUAGGGUAGCAAACAGG
rnacentral:rRNA from 1 species